rnacentral:rRNA from 1 species
UACGUAGGGACCAAGCGUUGUUCGGAUUUACUGGGCGUAAAGGGCGCGUAGGCGGCCUGCUAAGUCGAACGUGAAAUCCCUGGGCUCAACCCAGGAACUGCGUCCGAUACUGGUUGGCUUGAAUCCGGGAGAGGGAUGUGGAAUUCCAGGUGUAGCGGUGAAAUGCGUAGAUAUCUGGAGGAACACCGGUGGCGAAGGCGACAUCCUGGACCGGUAUUGACGCUGAGCGCGAAAGCCAGGGGAGCAAACGGG